rnacentral:rRNA from 1 species
GCGGAGGAAAAGAANNCAACCGGGAUUGCCUCAGUAACGGCGAGUGAAGCGGCAAGAGCUCAAAUUUGAAAUCUGGCCCCUCCGGGGUCCGAGUUGUAAUUUGUAGAGGAUGCUUCGGGUGCGGCCCCCGUCUAAGUGCCCUGGAACGGGCCAUCGGAGAGGGUGAGAAUCCCGUCUGGGACGGGGUGUCCGCGUCCAUGUGAAGCUCCUUCGACGAGUCGAGUUGUUUGGGAAUGCAGCUCUAAAUGGGUGGUAAAUUUCAUCUAAAGCUAAAUACUGGCCGGAGACCGAUAGCGCACAAGUAGAGUGAUCGAAAGAUGAAAAGCACUUUGAAAAGAGAGUUAAACAGCACGUGAAAUUGUUGAAAGGGAAGCGCUUGCGACCAGACUCGCUUCCGGGGUUCAGCCGGCUUUCGGGCCGGUGUACUUCCCCGGGGGCGGGCCAGCGUCGGUUUGGGCGGCCGGUCAAAGGCCCCUGGAAUGUAACGCCUCUCGGGGCGCCUUAUAGCCAGGGGUGUCAUGCGGCCAGCCUGGACCGAGGAACGCGCUUCGGCACGGACGCUGGCAUAAUGGUCGUAAACGACCCGUCUUGAAACACGGACCAAGGAGUCUAACAUCUACGCGAGUGUUCGGGUGUCAAACCCGUGCGCGCAGUGAAAGCGAACGGAGGUGGGAGCCCCCUCGAGGGGCGCACCAUCGACCGAUCCUGAUGUCUUCGGAUGGAUUUGAGUAAGAGCGUAGCUGUGGGGACCCGAAAGAUGGUGAACUAUGCCUGAAUAGGGCGAAGCCAGAGGAAACUCUGGUGGAGGCUCGCAGCGGUUCUGACGUGCAAAUCGAUCGUCAAAUUUGGGUAUAGGGGCGAAAGACUAAUCGAACCAUCUGGUAG